rnacentral:tRNA from 12 species
CGGGGUGUAGCGCAGUCUGGUAGCGCGCCUGCUUUGGGAGCAGGAUGUCGGGGGUUCAAAUCCCUCCACCCCGACCA